rnacentral:lncRNA from 1 species
UUGUUUUUUCAUUUAUUUCUAAAAAUUUUUUUAUAUAUUAUUCAAUUCCUUAUUUGACAAGUUAAGGGUCAUGGGUUGGAUGGUUGAGGCUUCGGUCUCCCAACCCCCAUGACUUGGGUUUGAGACCUGUGUGCCUUUUUUUUGUGUUUUAUUUUUUUACUUUCCAACAUUGUGUUUUUCCAUCAUAUAUUAUUCCAUACCUGCUUUGACAAAUUGAGAAUCAUGGUUGAGUUGGCUAAGGCUUUGGCUUGCAAAUACCAUACAUACUUCAUUUUUGUGC